GACGAACGCUGGCGGCGUGCCUAAUACAUGCAAGUAGAACGCUGAAGGAGGAGCUUGCUUCUCUGGAUGAGUUGCGAACGGGUGAGUAACGCGUAGGUAACCUGCCUGGUAGCGGGGGAUAACUAUUGGAAACGAUAGCUAAUACCGCAUAAGAGUAGAUGUUGCAUGACAUUUGCUUAAAAGGUGCAAUUGCAUCACUACCAGAUGGACCUGCGUUGUAUUAGCUAGUUGGUGGGGUAACGGCUUACCAAGGCGACGAUACAUAGCCGACCUGAGAGGGGGAUCGGCCACACUGGGACUGAGACACGGCCCAGACUCCUACGGGAGGCAGCAGUAGGGAAUCUUCGGCAAUGGACGGAAGUCUGACCGAGCAACGCCGCGGGAGUGAAGAAGGGUGUCGGAUCGUAAAGCUCUGUUGUAAGAGAAGAACGAGUGUGAGAGUGGAAAGUUCACAAUGUGACGGUAGCUUACCAGAAAGGGACGGCUAACUACGUG
rnacentral:rRNA from 1 species